ACUCCUACGGGAGGCAGCAGUGGGGAAUAUUGCACAAUGGGGGAAACCCUGAUGCAGCCAUGCCGCGUGUGUGAAGAAGGCCUUCGGGUUGUAAAGCACUUUCAGUAGGGAGGAAGGUAGUGUAGUUAACACCUGCAUUAUUUGUACGUUACCUACAGAAGAAGCACCGGCUAACUCCGUGCCAGCAGCCGCGGUAAUACGGAGGGUGCGAGCGUUAAUCGGAAUUACUGGGCGUAAAGCGCAUGCAGGCGGCCUGUUAAGUCAGAUGUGAAAGCCCCGGGGUCUUAACCGUCGGAAUUGCAUUUGAAACUGGCAGGCUAGAGUCUUGUAGAGGGGUUAGAAUUUCGA
rnacentral:rRNA from 1 species